UAUCUGGAAAUGAACGCACUUUUAUUUAAUUCGUGGGUCAAAGACAAAAUCACAAAAGAAGUACAAAAACAUUUAGAAUUGAAUGAUAACAAUAAUACAACAUAUGAAAAUUUGUGGAAUGCAGCUAAAGGAGUGCUUUUAGGGAAACUUAAAGCUUUAAGUAUUUGGAUUAGAAAAGAAGAAAGAUCUGAAAUCAGUGAUGUAAGUUACACCUUAAGUAACUAGAAGAAGAAGAGCAGGAACAAAGUAAGCUAAAGGAAGGAAAGAAAGACGAGAAAUCAGCUAACUAGAAAACAGGCAGCAGCAGAGAAAACUAACAAGGCAAAACUUUGUUCUUUGGUAACUUGACAAACCUCAAAGCUGACUAAUCAAGAUAAAAAUAGGGGGCCGGCCCCAGGACCCAGUGGUGAAGUUCAUGUGUUCUGCUAUGGAGGUUCCCCGUUCACUGGUUCGAAUUCUGGGCACAGAAUUACUCACCACUCAUCAGGCUAUACUGUGGCUGCAGCCCAUGGAGAAGAACUAGAAUAACCUACAACUAGGAUAUACACCUAUGUACUGGGGCUCUGGGGAAGGAAAAAAAAAGAGGGAGAUUGGCAACAGGUGUUAGCUGAGGGCCAAUCUUCCUCACCAAAAGAAAAAGAAAAAGAAAAAGAGAACAAAAAUCACCGUAUUAGGAAUGAAAAAGGGAUUACUACCACAGAUACUACAGACAUUAAAAGGAUAAUGAGAGAAUGCUAUGAACAACUCUAUGUCAACUUCGAUGAAACGGACAAAUUUGUUUUGUUAAAUUUCAACUUAAAUUAAAACAAAACGAUAAAAUGGAAAAAAGAAAAAGAAAUUUAGGGACAAAUAUUACUUGGGACUACAGAGGCAAAAAUCUUUUAGCAAAACAAACUAAUAGGAUAUAAGUUUAAUAUACAAAACUGUCACCAAAUAUGUUAUAUAUAAGCAACAAAUAAUUGGAAAUACAAUUUAAAUAUCAUUCCAAGUACACUAGUGCCAGAAAUCAUCAAAUUCUUAGGAAUAAAUCUUAGAAACAAUGUCUCAGACCUCAGAAAACCAAGACACUGAAAACCAAGAAACGCUGCUGAGAGGAAGAAGCACAAAUAAAUGCACCCCCUUUUCCUAGAUAGUGAGGCUCAACGUUGCUAAGAUGGCAAUUCUCCCCAAAUUGAUCCAUAGAUCCAACAAAAUUCCAAACAAAAUUCUAGGAGGCUUUUGGUAGAAAUUGAUGAGCUGAUUUAAAAAAUUUAUAUGCAAACAUAAAAGACCUAAAAAAUAUUUAAAAUAACCAAAGCAAUUUUUAGAAAGAUGAACAAAGUUAACUUAUUUUUAGGUAAAGCAAAAAAAGCUGAGAUAAUUAGUCGUGUUUCUGAACAGUUACACUUGCAAAAUUUCCAUUGAUUUUCUUCCCAUGAUUCACUAAACAGAGGCAUAUGUAACCACUUUGGGAAUAGACAGGAGAAUUGGGGGGGAAAGUAGAAAGUCAAACACUGGCUUCCUUCACAGGAGCCUCAGAGGAAAUGCCCUUUUAGAGCAGGUUCUAGACUGGAGGUGAGACACACAGAAGAGGAGGUCACAGAAGCAUCGGGGAGAGGAAGAGAGCUCUGGUCCAUCAUAGGUAAAGAAGGGCCACAUGGAGCAGCAGGCCUUGGAAAGAGGUUUAGGGCCAAGUCUGAGAGAAAAAAACCCAGGCAGAGCUUGGUCUUCAAGGUCAGAUUCAAAGGGAAACUGCCCUUCCAUUAUGUCUCAGUCUUUUUUCCUACCUUCUCUCCCCCAAGCCUCGUGGUCCCUAAACGUCCCAGAAAGCGCUGGGCCAAGGUAAAGCAUUUAGAGUUCCAGAAAAAUUUCACCUCCCCAUCGGAACCCCUUAAGCUGCGGGGAGGGUUUCCUGAUCGAUGCCUUGCUCUCUCCCGUCCUUAGGGACAGUGCUGUGGACACAUCCCCAGCCUCAGAGGAGGUCCAGGGAGGCUGGCCCUGGUGCCUGCACCAAGCGGCAUCUCCUUCCAGUUCUCCAGAGAUCUAUGGAGUGAUUCCAGGCACGUGCUCUCCAGGUAGGUCUGGAAGCUCACUGCCAACCAGGUUGGCUUCCACUCUCGGGUCCCGCCUCUGCUCCAGAGCGAGGGUCCCUGUUCUGGAAUCUGCUCAGAGGUAGGCAGGCAGCUCACAUCCGCGCACAGGCUCCGAUUCCAGAUCCCCGGGCACCCGCCGCGCUGAACUCAGGCAGGAGGUGUGAGACCCUGGCCCCCCGCACCGCGGGAUCCUGGCUCCAAGACAGUAAUGAGCCAGAGCAGCUGUCAGAAUCCCUUACCCUAUGCAGGACCGACAAAGGGCUCAGAGAAGCUUUUAACUGAGCCUUCUCGUCAAAGUCUUUGGUAUUCCCCUGUGCAUUGUGCUUCUAGAAAGACUCUUUCCCCCACAGAGCCUGAGGACAGACAGGAAGCACCGUUGGAAAACGGAAGGUGGUGGGAUGAAGGCUUCUUCUUUAAUUCUGGGUACCACUAAUGGCUGAAGGCAUUGGAUAGUGGUUCACGGCUACAGAAAAGAGUUGUGGACAGAAGAGAUGGAAACCUCAGAGACAGAGCAGGCAUCCAGAGGUCUCCUCUCCUCCAGUCCCUGCCCCACCGACGAGCCAGAGCCUUGCAGAGUCCUGGGCUGCUCAGAAGGCUGCUUCUUCUUCCUCACAUUGAUGCC
rnacentral:lncRNA from 1 species